AACAGGAUUAGAUACCCUGGUAGUCCACGCCGUAAACGAUGUCGACUUGGAGGUUGUGCCCUUGAGGCGUGGCUUCCGGAGCUAACGCGUUAAGUCGACCGCCUGGGGAGUACGGCCGCAAGGUUAAAACUCAAAUGAAUUGACGGGGGCCCGCACAAGCGGUGGAGCAUGUGGUUUAAUUCGAUGCAACGCGAAGAACCUUACCUACUCUUGACAUCCAGAGAACUUAGCAGAGAUGCUUUGGUGCCUUCGGGAACUCUGAGACAGGUGCUGCAUGGCUGUCGUCAGCUCGUGUUGUGAAAUGUUGGGUUAAGUCCCGCAACGAGCGCAACCCUUAUCCUUUGUUGCCAGCGGUUAGGCCGGGAACUCAAAGGAGACUGCCAGUGAUAAACUGGAGGAAGGUGGGGAUGACGUCAAGUCAUCAUGGCCCUUACGAGUAGGGCUACACACGUGCUACAAUGGCGCAUACAAAGAGAAGCGUACCUCGCGAGAGCAAGCGGACCUCAUAAAGUGCGUCGUAGUCCGGAUUGGAGUCUCAACUCGACUCCAUGAAGUCGGAAUCGCUGGG
rnacentral:rRNA from 1 species